UGGGCAAUUAAUAGAAGUCGUCGUCGGAAUCAGGACGAUUGCGCCGACGACGGAACAGCGGAGGAACUUCGGAUUCUCCUCUGGUUGAGCAAACUAGGCGGCUUGGGUUCAAGAAGUUGCUCGACGUCUCCGGAAUUCCAGCAAUCAGUGGCCGAGGCGCUUUGGAUCCAAGCUGCGUGGCAUCCAAAGUUUCUGCACAACUGGUUUAGUCCACAGGGUACUCC
rnacentral:lncRNA from 1 species